CCGGCCUCUCACCAAUGGCGUGAUUCAGACAGUGGGGUGGGGGUGGGGUUCACCCCCUUGGCUGCAGGCAACAGCUCCUGGGGAGAUUUCUAUAAACAUGGACUUAGAAGCCUCAUUCUCAUUCCCGUUUCUGACUUAAUCAUCAGGCGUGGAGUCUAGCAACAGGGCUGUUUACAACCUCGCAGACCCUCUCCUGUGCAGUCAGGGAUGGAAACCAUGUCUGAGACCGCACUGAACCGUGUCAGUGACCCCAACAGCACUGAAAGCCACCCAGCCUGAAGAACUGGGGCCCAGACACGGAGCCGGUCCACUGGCUGGUUGCUUCCACUUCCUCAUGGAGGACACGUGUCCUUUCCAGAUACAGCUCCCAAAGCAUCGCUCACCUCUACUGAAAGCCACCGUGGCACGUCUGUUACGGAGAGACUCCCGCCAAUGCAGAAAGACCUGUGUCUUCAAAGCCGGGAGGCCCUGCAAGAAUCAGAAGGGCAGGUCUUCUGCUGUGUCCGGAUAUUCUCACGGCCUAGAGAGAAACAGGUCUCUGUGGGUGACCAUGUCCACUCCUCCUCCCUCUGGCUCUGGCUGAAGGCUGCCUGGAGGGAAGGAGAAACAGGUCCUCACAGGCCAGACUCAGGGAUGGCUUCUCCUGGGCACAGACAGAGCGAUUCCCAGUUCCCAAAUUUUCCACGAUGAGCAACUGAUGUUCCAGC
rnacentral:lncRNA from 1 species